rnacentral:rRNA from 1 species
AGUUUGAUCCUGGCUCAGGAUGAACGCUGGCGGCGUGCUUAACACAUGCAAGUCGAACGAGCCUUCGGGCUAGUGGCGGACGGGUGAGUAACGCGUGGGAAUCUGCCCUCAGGAGGGGGAUAACGGCCGGAAACGGCCGCUAAUACCCCAUAUGCCGAGAGGUGAAAUGAAUUUCGCCUGAGGAUGAGCCCGCGUCUGAUUAGCUAGUUGGUGUGGUAAUGGCGCACCAAGGCUUCGAUCAGUAGCUGGUCUGAGAGGAUGAUCAGCCACACUGGGACUGAGACACGGCCCAGACUCCUACGGGAGGCAGCAGUGGGGAAUUUUCCGCAAUGGGCGCAAGCCUGACGGAGCAACGCCGCGUGAGGGACGAAGGCCUCUGGGCUGUAAACCUCUUUUCUCAAGGAAGAAGACAUGACGGUACUUGAGGAAUAAGCCACGGCUAAUUCCGUGCCAGCAGCCGCGGUAAUACGGGAGUGGCAAGCGUUAUCCGGAAUUAUUGGGCGUAAAGCGUCCGCAGGCGGCCCAGCAAGUCUGUUGUUAAAAGGUGGAGCUUAACUCCAUCCAGGCAAUGGAAACUGCUGGGCUAGAGUGUGGUAGGGGCAGAGGGAAUUCCCGGUGUAGCGGUGAAAUGCGUAGAUAUCGGGAAGAACACCAGUGGCGAAGGCGCUCUGCUGGGCCAUAACUGACGCUCAUGGACGAAAGCCAGGGGAGCGAAAGGGAUUAGAUACCCCUGUAGUCCUGGCCGUAAACGAUGAACACUAGGUGUCGGGGGAAUCGACCCCCUCGGUGUCGUAGCCAACGCGUUAAGUGUUCCGCCUGGGGAGUACGCACGCAAGUGUGAAACUCAAAGGAAUUGACGGGGGCCCGCACAAGCGGUGGAGUAUGUGGUUUAAUUCGAUGCAACGCGAAGAACCUUACCAGGGUUUGACAUCCUGCGAAUCCCUUGGAAACUUGGGAGUGCCUUCGGGAGCGCAGUGACAGGUGGUGCAUGGCUGUCGUCAGCUCGUGUCGUGAGAUGUUGGGUUAAGUCCCGCAACGAGCGCAACCCACGUCUUUAGUUGCCAGCAUUCAGUUGGGCACUCUAGAGAGACCGCCGGUGAUAAACCGGAGGAAGGUGUGGAUGACGUCAAGUCAUCAUGCCCCUUACAUCCUGGGCUACACACGUACUACAAUGCUACGGACAAAGGGCAGCAAACUCGCGAGAGCUAGCAAAUCCCAUAAACCGUGGCUCAGUUCAGAUCGUAGGCUGCAACUCGCCUACGUGAAGGAGGAAUCGCUAGUAAUCGCAGGUCAGCAUACUGCGGUGAAUACGUUCCCGGGCCUUGUACACACCGCCCGUCACACCAUGGAAGUUGGCCAUGCCCGAAGUCGUUACUCCAACCGUUAGGGAGGAGGACGCCGAAGGUGGGGCUGAUGACUGGGGUGAAGUCGUAACAAGGUAGCCGU